rnacentral:lncRNA from 1 species
UCGGCUCCAUUGGUCUUUACUGGGGGGGGACAUGCAGGGCCAUGGGGUGGGGGGCUCCAGGGACAGCCCCGUCCCACCAUAGGGACAUCAGCCGAGCCAUGGACAGUGCUGGGGCCUGAUGGGCUGCAGAGGGAACGCGGGUUGUGACAAGGGGCAUGUCUCCGAGUCACCUCGGGUGAGGAGAGGAAGAGGCGAGAGAGGGAAGACGGGAAGGUGGCCAAGGAGAAGAGGAGAGGAGAGAAGGAGGAGAAGAGAGGAGAAGAGAAAGAGAAGACGGAGAAGAGAAAGAGAAGAAAGGAGAAGAGAGAAGAGAAGAAAGAAGAAGCAAGAAGAGAAGACGGAGAAGAGAGAAGAAAGAAGAGAGAAAGAGAAGACGGAGAAGAGAAUGAGAAGAAAGAAGGAGAAGAAGAGAGAAAGAGAAGACAAAGAGAAGGAGGAAAGGAGAAGAUGAUGACGAUGAUAAGACAGCCAAAAGGAGGAGAAGAUAACACCAAGAUGAGGAAGACAAGGAGAGGAGAAGGCUGAGGACAGGCAAGGAUGCAGAAGGAAGAACCGGUUGCUCUCCAGCCCUGUUCCCUUGUGCCCAGGCUGCAGCUCUCUGCUCUGGCCACCCCCAUGGCCACGCUGUGGCUCCCCCAUGGAGCAGCGCCCCAUGGGACCGGGGCACAUCCAGGGCUCACUGAGGCUGGGGGCUCCUCGCAGGACCCAUCCCCAACAGUCACCAAGCGCAGCAGGUCCCGGCUCUGUGGCCAUCACACCGGGUACCCGGUACCACGGCCGUCAUCCAUGGCUGUGGUCCCUCGGUGCCGGCGCCACCACCAUCACCCCACGGCAUCACCCCACGGCAUCCUUGGGGCUGUCUCAUGGCCAGGAGUCCUCCUCCAGCCCCUCGUGCUCCCGCGGGGCCCAGGCGGGCUCCAGGAAGGAGGAGAGGACGCUGUGCAGAGCCCCCCACGGCCUGUGCCCCCCGGGCUUGGGGGAGCGGGGGGGCGCUGCCCCACAGCCCCGCGGCGUGGGGAUCCUCGACGGCUUCCUAUGGGGCUGCGUGUCCAGCCGGGGCCGGGCGCAGGGCCGCGGCGGGGGGGGCUCCUCCAGCUCGUCCUCCCCCGGUACCCAGUCCGUGUCGGAGCCGGGGCCGUCCCCGCUCUCAUCGGAGGAGCUGGAGAGGGUGGGCUGGUGCCCCACAUGCGCCAUGCGGUGGGGUGCGGGCAGGGGGGGCCCCGUCCCGUCCGCGCUGCGCCGCCCGUCCUCCGCGGGAGCGCUGUGCUUGGCGAACAC